AUGGCUGUCGUCAGCUCGUGUCGUGAGAUGUUGGGUUAAGUCCCGCAACGAGCGCAACCCCCGUCUCAUGUUGCCAGCACGUAAUGGUGGGGACUCGUGAGAGACUGCCGGGGUCAACUCGGAGGAAGGUGGGGAUGACGUCAAGUCAUCAUGCCCCUUAUGUCCAGGGCUUCACACAUGCUACAAUGGCCGGUACAAAGGGCUGCGAUGCCGCAAGGCUUAGCGAAUCCUUUUAAAGCCGGUCUCAGUUCGGAUCGGGGUCUGCAACUCGACCCCGUGAAGUCGGAGUCGCUAGUAAUCGCAGAUCAGCAACGCUGCGGUGAGUACGUUCCCGGGCCUUGUACACACCGCCCGUCACGUCACGAAAGUCGGCAACACCCGAAGCCGGUGGCCUAACCCGUAAGGGAGGGAGCCGUCGAAGGUGGGGCUGGCGAUUGGGACGAAGUCGUAACAAGGUAGCCGUACCGGAAGGUGCGGCUGGAUCACCUCCUUUCUAAGGAGCGCCUGGCCGUGAAAGCGGUCCAGAAUCCUGCAUGCCACGAAUGUUGGUGUGGGGAGCUCAUCUGGCGGAGACACUGGUGAAGUUGGCUACCGGCAACGGUCGGCCCUGUUCCUCGUACUGCCCGUUGUGCUGCUGUGGUCUGCUCCUGUGAGGGGGUGGGUUGUGGUGGUGGGUGUGGAUCGGUGGGGUUGGUGCGGCUGGUGGCGUGGCGUUCAGACAUCCUGUUGGGUCCUGAAGAAACAAGCACUGUUCCCGUUUGGGGUGGUGGUUGUUUUUUCUGGCAGUCCGGCCCUAUCACCAAACUGCUUGCCGUUGGGUGGGUGUGUGGUGGUUGUUGGGUUUCGGGGUUGGCCGUUGUUUGAGAAUUGCACAGUGGACGCGAGCAUCUUUGUUGUGAAGUUGUCAAGGGCAGACGGUGAAUGCCUUGGCACCAGGAGCCGAUGAAGGACGCGGGAGGCCGCGAUAGGCCUGGGGGAGCUGUCAACCUAGCUGUGAUCCCAGGGUGUCCGAAUGGGGAAACCCGG
rnacentral:sRNA from 1 species